UUCCUCCCCCCACCGAGAUUUCCUCCAUCUCCCCUGAGUCGCUCCCCCACGCUCUCCCUCUCUCAUCCGCAAGCGUCGGCUAGGGUUCCAUCGCCGCCCACCGUCCCCGAUGCCACCCACAGUACGUAGCUCGACCUCGUCCACCCCUCACAAGCGCGGCCACCCUCCAAGUUGCCGACCUCCAUGAUGCUAUGUUCCACGACGCCCUUUUCCUGGAAGACGCUAUGUUCCCGAAGGUCGCCGCUACCCUGCCCCUCACGAGGACGAGGACGCCGUCGCCCCUCAUCCAGUUCGACGCUGUUUUCCAGGAAGCCUCCGUGUUCCAGGAGGCCGUCUCCGGCCUGCCAGUCACGAGGACGCCACCGCCCCUCACCCAACUCGACGGCGUAUUGCUACUACAACACGGCGGGAUAACAUCACUACACAUGGAGGGUACCUGAAAUUGGUUGCAAUUGUGCACAUUUUUUAACAGUUCUUCACACGGAAGAUAUAGAUUUGGUAUCCAACUGACCAACUCAUCUCAAAUACUAUGAAGAAAUGAGUUUACAAGAUCUAAAAUACUGUUGGAGAAAUUACAUGAAUAAUUCAAUGUGAAACAUCACAGCUUGCUCUGCAGGAUUAUGUUCGUAAUCAGGGAUAUAUGUCUAUGCUCUCUUAGGAAUGGAUUUCUUUGCUUUCAUGAACGGGUCAGAUACAUGGAGAGCUCCCGAAUUAGUCUCUUCUAUAGCAAUGUCAAUUUGUCUUGGGUAAAUGAGAGCCAAUGGGUUUCUGUAACACCAAUUUUGGUAAGCCUACAUAAUGGUUAGAAUGAGUUAUGCAACUGAUAAAUCAAAAUUCGCAAGCACUC